rnacentral:rRNA from 1 species
UACAGAGGGUGCGAGCGUUAAUCGGAAUUACUGGGCGUAAAGCGCGCGUAGGCGGCUUUGCAAGCCGGAUGUGAAAUCCCCGGGCUUAACCUGGGAACUGCAUUCGGGACUGCAUUGCUAGAGUAUGGGAGAGGGAAGUGGAAUUUCAGGUGUAGCGGUGAAAUGCGUAGAUAUGCGGAGGAACACCGAUGGCGAAGGCAAUCCCCUGGACCUGUACUGACGCUCAUGCACGAAAGCGUGGGGAGCAAACAGG